rnacentral:rRNA from 1 species
GAUGAACGCUGGCGGCGUGCUUAACACAUGCAAGUCGAACGGAAAGGCCCAAGCUUGCUUGGGUACUCGAGCGGCGAACGGGUGAGUAACACGUGGGUGAUCUGCCCUGCACUUCGGGAUAAGCCUGGGAAACUGGGUCUAAUACCGGAUAGGACGAUGGUUUGGAUGCCAUUGUGGAAAGUUUUUUCGGUGUGGGAUGAGCUCGCGGCCUAUCAGCUUGUUGGUGGGGUAAUGGCCUACCAAGGCGUCGACGGGUAGCCGGCCUGAGAGGGUGUACGGCCACAUUGGGACUGAGAUACGGCCCAGACUCCUACGGGAGGCAGCAGUGGGGAAUAUUGCACAAUGGGCGCAAGCCUGAUGCAGCGACGCCGCGUGGGGGAUGACGGCCUUCGGGUUGUAAACUCCUUUCGCUAGGGACGAAGCGUUUUUGUGACGGUACCUGGAGAAGAAGCACCGGCUAACUACGUG